GACACGCUGGCGGCGUGGAUUAGGCAUGCAAGUCGAACGGUAGGAUACCUUCGGGUAUCUGAGAGUGGCGAACGGGUGAGUAACACGUAGGUGAUCUACCCUCAAGAUUGGGACAACCCAGGGAAACUUGGGCUAAUACCGGAUGAAAGCAGCAGUGAUGUUGUUUGAAAGGUGGCGUAAGCUGCCGUUUGGGGAUGAGCCUGCGCUCUAUUAGUUAGUUGGCGGGGUAAAGGCCCACCAAGGCGAUGAUAGAUAGGCGGCCUUAACGGGUGGUCGCCCACACUGGGAUUGAGAUACGGCCCAGACUCCUACGGGAGGCAGCAGUCGAGAAUAGUCUACAAUGGUCGGAAGACUGAUAGUGCGACGCCGCGUGAACGAUGAAUCCCUUCGGGGUGUAAAGUUCUUUUAUAUGUGAGCAGUGCUUCUUAUAUUAACAGUAUGGGGAGAGAGAUAUUAGCAUAUGAAUAAGCAACGGCUAACUCCGUG
rnacentral:rRNA from 1 species